rnacentral:rRNA from 1 species
UACGUAGGGGGCAAGCGUUAUCCGGAUUUACUGGGUGUAAAGGGAGCGUAGGCGGCUUAGUAAGUCAGAAGUGAAAGCCCGCAGCUCAACUGCGGGACUGCUUUUGAAACUGCCAAGCUAGAGUGUCGGAGAGGUAAGUGGAAUUCCUAGUGUAGCGGUGAAAUGCGUAGAUAUUAGGAGGAACACCAGUGGCGAAGGCGACCUGCUAGAACAUAACUGACGCUGAUGCGCGAAAGCGUGGGGAGCAAACAGG